AUCUGGCUGGCUCAGUUGGUAGAGCGAGAGACUCUUGAUCUCGGGGUUGUGCGUUCGAGCCCCAUGCUGGGUG